GCCCCUUUCGUAUAGGAGACAAGUAUGGCGCCCCUUCAAGGCGUAGACCUGGGUGCGAAUCCCAGAGGGGGCA
rnacentral:tRNA from 1 species